UGAAGCUUCCCUUCGCAUCCUACAAAGUUUAACUUUACACGUUCACCUGUACUGACAGACGUUGAGGUUCAUCUUCAUCAGCGUGAUCUGACAAGAGCCGGUUCCAUCGUAGAUAGUUGGAUAACCACUGUGCACGAAAUUGCUAGAAAGCACUCACACACGCAGCACAUUCCGUAGCCACCAGCACAAGGUCCACUGGAUGAUCCACCUCUUUGUUGACAUUGCUGCGCAGUCAAACAAGUACCAUUAUCGCCUGUCGCGCCCAUGCACUCCUGGUUGCUAAACUGGACGAAUUACCACUGAAAUAAUCCGGACUUACACCGACUUUGUCGAUUGUUAAAUGAAUAAUUAUCUUGUUGUAAUAUCGGUGCACGUACUCGUCUUGGAGACCCCGUGGAUGUUGGUACGAUUCUGUUAAUAUUAUUGUAAUGCCCG